AGGAAUUAUGACGUUAAAACCUCACCGGGACCUUUUGAAGUUUAAGUUUAUUAUUUGCAGUUGUACAAAUAAUCAAGAAGAAAUCAAGAUAGUACCAUCAUACUUUAUAUCCUGCUUUCAUCAUCUUUCAGGUUUCAAAGAUCAUGGGCACAGCUUUAUCAGAAGCAGACACACCCAUCAGUGUCAUCACUGAAAGUUCAGACUUCACAGAUGUAGAACGACCCGUAUCCGUUUGAACUGAUCAGAGGUGGGAACUUUAACCCACAACCCCACAACACAAGCAAACUAGCCCACAGGCCUGUUUAUCCAUGCUGAACUUCUCUACACAAUCCCUCUCAAAACAUCCCCCGGCAGUUCACAGGAAAACCGCCUGUAUCUCCUCAUGUUUCUGUGGUAUUUAUAAUCAACAGAAGCCUAUUGUUCUGUGCACAAACAGCAGCGGAUAUGGGUAGAGCAGUAUUUCAACUUAAUAAUGUGAUUAAUACCGAACUGUGGAUACGGUCACGACCAUCAGUGGGGUGGAUUGCUCUGAUUUAAUUUGGCUUGGCUAAACUUGUAUUAGCACAUUCUAAUGUCCCUUCUGCUUAUCUAAAAGUCAUUUCCAGAAUUUGUUAGCUGAAGAACAGCACAAUUCAACUCUGGUUGUAUUAGAAAUUCAUUUUCAUAUAAGAUGCUUUUGUCUGCUUCUGAUCGGGGCUGGAUUUAUGCAUUUCCACAUACAAACGCACACACAUAGACCUACAGUACACACAGGAAUACACAGCACAGAAACUUGUCAACACUGAAGUUUCCAUAUCUGAGGUCAAUAUUUGAUAAGAGGUCAGUGGGGAAAAUGGGUGUUUUUCUGUUACCACUGAAUACAGAUUAAGGGCCCUGAUAUGUCAAUUGAAACUGAAGAGCAAACUGGUGUUCAAGUUUGUUUGGGGAGUUCGAAACCGCUUGCCAAAGCGAACUUUCCGGAAAGAUUGAUCCGGCUGGAAAAAACCUUUGCAUGGAAAUCUUUUCCAGUUCAUUUCAUCUGUUCAAUCCCUUGAGGUCAGACGCAAGUAAAAACAUGAACACAUUGGAGAGCUAUUUUAUAGCAGAAACUGAAGCUGUAAUUUUAACUGAAAGUGACACUGACACUGUUUGUUCAUGUAUAAUAUCAUAAAGCUGGUUGCUUUAAAGCAAUCUAUUGUAUUAAAGAACUAUAUAAAUAAAUAUGAUGUGACCAAACUG